GUCAUCUCUUAAAUCCUACUCCCUCUGUGCCACGGCUUUAUUUUGCCAAAGCCCUAGCUGUGACUGGGAGCCUACAGAUCCACCACCACCUCAGCAGAGAUCCGCUCUAUCUCCCACGCUUCGUUACUGCUGUUUUUCCUGAGUUUGAGGUCAGCUGACCAGCUGCUCCUGAAAGUACAGGGAUCCAAGAGGAAGCUCAGAGGGGACAGGGCCUUUUCUAUCGUGGCUCCUAAAUUAUGGAAUAACUUGCCCUUGCAUGUUAGAGAGAUCCCCUUCACUGUCCACUUUUAAAACAGGUAAUGGCUCCUGCUCUUAAAAUCUGUCUUGGAUAUCAUCAUCAUUGUAAUCUUUACUUAUAAAGCACUUUAAAACAACCACAGCUGAUGCAAAGUUUUGUACAUUGGAACUAAUAAAAUAAAUAAAUAAAAGCCAAAUAAAAGAGAAAAAGUAAUGUGGUGUUAAGCUUGAUGUUGUGAUAAGCUUGUCUGCUGUCUGCGUUUGAUUUUGUUUUAUUCUUUUUUAU
ensembl:lncRNA